rnacentral:rRNA from 1 species
GAUGAACGCUGGCGGCGUGCCUAAUACAUGCAAGUCGAGCGAACAGACGAGGAGCUUGCUCCUCUGACGUUAGCGGCGGACGGGUGAGUAACACGUGGAUAACCUACCUAUAAGACUGGGAUAACUUCGGGAAACCGGAGCUAAUACCGGAUAAUAUAUUGAACGGCAUGGUUCAAUAGUGAAAGACGGUUUUGCUGUCACUUAUAGAUGGAUCCGCGCCGCAUUAGCUAGUUGGUAAGGUAACGGCUUACCAAGGCAACGAUGCGUAGCCGACCUGAGAGGGUGAUCGGCCACACUGGAACUGAGACACGGUCCAGACUCCUACGGGAGGCAGCAGUAGGGAAUCUUCCGCAAUGGGCGAAAGCCUGACGGAGCAACGCCGCGUGAGUGAUGAAGGUCUUCGGAUCGUAAAACUCUUUUAUUAGGGAAGAACAAAUGUGUAAGUAACUAUGCACGUCUUGACGGUACCUAAUCAGAAAGCCACGGCUAACUACGUG